rnacentral:tRNA from 1 species
GAGAAAGUUACAAGAACUGCUAACUCUUGAAUCCAUGCCUAAAACACAUGGCUUUCUCA